UCUAGAUGUUUUGCUCUUUUGUUAGAGUGAAUGUUGUACAUUCAGGGGAUCUAGAAUACCUCUAAGAGGGCCAGAUGUUCACAGCCCUGGAAGGGGUGCCUUAAAUCUUUCUAUACCUUUGUUCCAAAUCUGCAACAUGUUGGGUGGUAAAGUAAAGUGUGCCAUCGAGUCGGUGUUGACUCCGGGUGCCCACAGAGCCCUGUGGUUGUUUUUGGUAGAAUACAGGAGGGGUUGACCAUUGCCAUCUCCCGUGCAGUAUGAGAUGAUGCCUUUCAGCGUCUUCCUAUAUUGCGGCUGCCCGAUAGAGGUGUUUCCCAUAGUCGCGAACCAGCAAUCUCUGGCUUGCUAGUCAAGUUAUAGAGAGGAGAGCUGGUUUAGUGGUGGAGACAGAGUUAAAGCUUCUCUCUUCAUAUCACAAUCCUGAUUUUCUUGCUGCAGCUGCUAUUGAGAAAACAAAAACAAGACAUAGAGGACCAAAACACCUUAAAAGUAAUGUGACGUUUGGCCCUGUGAAUCCCUGUGUGAAGCGACUCCAGAACUCUUGCAUGUUAACAUUCCUCAAGUACUAGGAAACAGAAAAGAGAGCAACAAGAGCAAAGCAGGAACCAAGAGCAACUGAUGGAGGAUGCAGGAAAAAGAAGGAAAACAGGAACACGGCAGCCGUUCUGAGUUGGCUUAAUGGAGAAUCAGAUGAGUGGAGACAACCUGCUGGAGAAAAUCCAGCCGCACAAUUAAUGUUAGUUUUGCCCCAGUCUUCCAAGAGAACAGCCUGCCCAGCUCUCUCUCUCUCUCUCUCCCCAUCUCCCCCGCCCCAAUUUUACAAAAAAACAACAUGGUUAUCCGAAAGCUGCUGGCAGCAGAAAAGAGAGUUAGUUAAAGCCUCUCCCCUCAACCCACUGCGUAUCAAAUCUUGGAAUUCUUCUUUGUUGUUCAUACAUUUGGAAUAUCUGGGUUGGAAGGGAGGUUGUCUGGCUGAUAAACAAGUUGGAGAGACCUUGAGGAAGUGAAGUUGAGCUGUUGUCAAUGCUCCACGGCCUACGAUCAUAGGAGGAGGGCCCAUAACUCAAUGUUGGCACACGGACCCCAUCUGCACUAGGUCCCAGGCCGAAUCCUUGCUAUUUCAGUUGUUGUUGAUGAUGAUGACGACGAUGCUAUUUACACACAAUCUACCAGAUGUUAUUGACUGGAUUUGAUACUUUAAUUAUUGGGCCCUUUCCAAACGUCUAGGAUAACUGAAGAAAAAAUAAAGAUAUCGCCGUAGUA